UAGGGAGGAAAAGAAACCAACUGGGAUUACCUUAGUAACGGCGAGUGAAGCGGUAAAAGCUCAAAUUUGAAAUCUGGUACUUUCAGUGCCCGAGUUGUAAUUUGUAGAAUUUGUCUUUGAUUAGGUCCUUGUCUAUGUUCCUUGGAACAGGACGUCAUAGAGGGUGAGAAUCCCGUUUGGCGAGGAUACCUUUUCUCUGUAAGACUUUUUCGAAGAGUCGAGUUGUUUGGGAAUGCAGCUCAAAGUGGGUGGUAAAUUCCAUCUAAAGCUAAAUAUUGGCGAGAGACCGAUAGCGAACAAGUACAGUGAUGGAAAGAUGAAAAGAACUUUGAAAAGAGAGUGAAAAAGUACGUGAAAUUGUUGAAAGGGAAGGGCAUUUGAUCAGACAUGGUGUUUUUUGCAUGCACUCGCCUCUCGUGGGCUUGGGCCUCUCAAAAAUUUCACUGGGCCAACAUCAAUUCUGGCAGCAGGAUAAAUCAUUAAGAAUGUAGCUACUUCGGUAGUGUUAUAGCUUUUUGGAAUACUGUUAGCCGGGAUUGAGGACUGCGCUCCGGCAAGGAUGUUGGCAUAAUGGUUAAAUGCCGCCCGUCUUA
rnacentral:rRNA from 1 species